UACGGAGGGUGCAAGCGUUAUCCGGAUUCACUGGGUUUAAAGGGUGCGUAGGUGGGCUAGUAAGUCCGUGGUGAAAUCUCCAAGCUUAACUUGGAAACUGCCGUGGAUACUAUUAGUCUUGAAUAUUGUGGAGGUAAGCGGAAUAUGUCAUGUAGCGGUGAAAUGCUUAGAUAAGACAUAGAACACCGAUAGCGAAGGCAGCUUGCUACACAAUCAUUGACACUGAGGCACGAAAGCGUGGGGAUCAAACAGG
rnacentral:rRNA from 1 species